UUACUUUUGAAAAAUAAAAAAGCAAUCUUUUUUCGCAUAUAACGUAAAAUUCACUCCAAUCCUUUCGGAGCAUGUUCAACUGCGAUCUAGCGGCACUCCCAGUUACGGUGAAUUUCUAAAGAAUAAAAAGAAUCACGUUUUGAUGGUGUAAUCUUGUCAUCGUGUCAAAGUAGUAACAUGAACUCAAACCACAUUCUAUCACGAAAGUACAGUGGUUUUUGGAUAAAGAACUUAUACAGAUGUAAUAAACGCACAUAUUCAUGAAUACGGCCGUGAGGAACAACAUAAUCUCUAUGUUGCAUCCUCAAUUUGCCAACAUGGAUAAACACGCACACGCGAUACGGACACUCACCACUAACGUAUAAGAUCAUGCAUCGCGAUUGUUGCGGAAUGGUUGUUCACUCUGCGAACGAACCGUCGUGAUGCUACGCAGGAUUUUACAGACGCUCGUACCGGGAUUCGAUCAAAACUAACAUUCUUAUUUUCCUAUUUAUCUCCAUUUCUUCGUUAUUAUUAACGAAGGUCAGUUAAAAAAAUGAAGAAAUAGUUAAUCUUAAUUAACGAACAGAAGUAUUCGUUAUAACAUCCAUUUUACAAACACAGUUUACAUCUGAUGUGAAAUGGAAAGUCUCCACAGCCACCUUUAUCACUAAAAGCACCAUUCACAAUGACGCAUUUGCAUCACGUCUAUUUGUGCUUCUAACUACUACUGUUGGCAACAUUUAUGUGUAUUUCCUCUAGAAAAUCUACUAAUUCAUUUA